UACGUAGGGGGCGAGCGUUAUCCGGAAUUACUGGGCGUAAAGCGCACGCAGGCGGUCUACCAAGUUUGGAGUGACGAGUUUCCGGCUCAACCGGGAAAGUACUUUGAAAACUGGUAGACUUGAGGACGAGAGAGGAACAUGGAACUCCAGGUGUAGUAGUGAAAUGCGUAGAUAUCUGGAAGAACACCAAAGGCGAAGGCAAGUGUUCUGGCUCGUUUCUGACGCUCAGGUGCGAAAGCCAGGGGAGCGAACGGG
rnacentral:rRNA from 1 species